CCCUUAGAUGUCCGGGGCCGCACGCGCGCUACACUGUAGAUCGCAGCGAGUGUCGUACCUGUCCUUCCCGUAGCCGGGUGGGUAAACCAUUGAAAGAUCGAACGUGGCUUGGGAUCGGGCCUUGAAAUUAUUGCCCGUGAACGAGGAAUUCCCAGUAAGCGCGAGUCAUAAGCUGGCGUUGAUUACGUCCCUGCCCUUUGUACACACCGCCCGUCGCUACUACCGAUUGGACGGUUUAGCGAGGCCCUCGGAUCGGUACCAGGAUUCUUAACCGAGUCACUGGCAACCGAGAAGGCGGUCGAACUUGACCGUCUAGAGGAAGUAAAAGUCGUAACA
rnacentral:rRNA from 1 species